rnacentral:rRNA from 1 species
CCUGGUUGAUUCUGCCAGUAGUCAUAUGCUUGUCUUAAAGAUUAAGCCAUGCAUGUCUAAGUAUAAGCAAUUAUACAGCGAAACUGCGAAUGGCUCAUUAAAUCAGUUAUCGUUUAUUUGAUAGUACCUUACUACAUGGAUAACCGUGGUAAUUCUAGGGCUAAUACAUGCUAAAAACCCCGACUUCGGAAGGGGUGUAUUUAUUAGAUUAAAAACCAAUGCCCUUCGGGGCUCACUGGUGAUUCAUGAUAACUUCUCGAAUCGCACGGCCUUGCGCCGGCGAUGGUUCAUUCAAAUUUCUGCCCUAUCAACUUUCGACGGCUGGGUCUUGGCCAGCCGUGGUGACAACGGGUAACGGAGGGUUAGGGCUCGACCCCGGAGAAAACGCCUGAGAAACGGCGUUUACAUCCAAGGAAGGCAGCAGGCGCGCAAAUUACCCAAUGCCGACACGGCGAGGUAGUGACGAGAAAUACUGAUACAGGGCUCUUUUGGGUCUUGUAAUUGGAAUGAGUACAAUUUAAAUCUCUUAACGAAGAACAAUUGGAGGGCAAGUCUGGUGCCAGCAGCCGCGGUAAUUCCAGCUCCAAUAGCGUAUAUUAAAGUUGUUGCAGUUAAAAAGCUCGUAGUUGAACCUUGGGCCUGUCUGGCCGGUCCGCCUCACCGCGUGCACUGGUCCGGCCGGGCCUUUCCCUCUGGGGAACCGCAUGCCCUUCACUGGGCGUGUCGGGGAACCAGGACUUUUACUUUGAAAAAAUUAGAGUGUUCAAAGCAGGCCUAUGCUCGAAUACAUUAGCAUGGAAUAAUAGAAUAGGACGUGUGGUUCUAUUUUGUUGGUUUCUAGGACCGCCGUAAUGAUUAAUAGGGACAGUCGGGGGCAUCAGUAUUCAAUUGUCAGAGGUGAAAUUCUUGGAUUUAUUGAAGACUAACUACUGCGAAAGCAUUUGCCAAGGAUGUUUUCAUUAAUCAGGAACGAAAGUUAGGGGAUCGAAGAAGAUCAGAUACCGUCGUAGUCUUAACCAUAACUAUGCCGACUAGGGAUCGGACGGUG